rnacentral:rRNA from 1 species
GGUGAACGCUGGCGGCGUGCUUAACACAUGCAAGUCGAACGAGAACGGAUUAUAGCUUGCUAUAAUUGCCAGCUAAGUGGCUCACGGGUGAGUAAUGUAUAGGUAAUAUGCCUCUUACUAAGGGAUAACAAAUGGAAACGUUUGCUAAUACCUUAUACUCCUUAUUAACAUAAGUUAAUAAGGGAAAGAUUUAUUGGUAAGAGAUUAGCCUGUAUUGUAUCAGUUAGUUGGUGGGGUAAUGGCUUACCAAGACUAUGACACAUAACUGGUUUGAGAGGAUGAUCAGUCACACUGGAACUGAGACACGGUCCAGACUCCUACGGGAGGCAGCAGUGGGGAAUAUUGCACAAUGGACGAAAGUCUGAUGCAGCAACGCCGCGUGGAGGAUGACACAUUUCGGUGCGUAAACUCCUUUUAUAUGAGAAGAUAAUGACGGUAUUAUAUGAAUAAGCACCGGCUAACUCCGUGCCAGCCGCCGCAGUAA